rnacentral:piRNA from 1 species
CAAGAUGUUAGAGAAUCAAUUGCAG